CUCUGGUCGUGUGUUCUUAUCAGAGGUGCAUCGAGGGUUUGAUAUGCAGUUAGAGUUGAUAUCUAAUUUUGUUCACAGUGUGUGAUAGUGCAUGAUAGCUACUCGAGCUGUCUCAUCAUGCGGUCAUCUAUGGCCCUUGAUGGCAGCUACGUAACUCUCUUCAUGUUAGAUUCCUUUUCUUGUCACUGCUCGAGACUUCCCAGAAUUGGCGACAACUUUAUAUUCUCAAAAGUUUGACUCUUGGGGUUCUCUUAUGUUGUUUAGCCCAUCGACACAUGUGGUUAGCAGUUGCGAGUCAUAGGCUUCUGUUUCUUCGGUUCUCAAAGACAGCACUAGCGUCGCGAUUCUUUUGGUCGUGGCGGUUUCAAAUUUGAGUCAAGCUCACAUUCCAGUGUCGGCUAUGGUCAUUUGAUUUGCUCUUGGUAAUGAUACUUGGUUGGCUUCUCUGUGCAGGUCGUUAGAGUCUUCCCUAGUAAAUUAGUGUGUGGCGUUAAAUUCAAGUCUGGUGGCGAUAAGGCGAAGCUUUUCCGUAAGGCCUCUGAAAUUUCAAUGAGCUGGAACCAGGUUUACUACAGCCCAAAACAUUGAAUGAAUUUAAUAAAUGCAACAAUCUACUUAUGAAUAAUACUAAUAAAAAGGACUAUAGAAUAAAAGAGUGAGAGGAUGAAGAAGUCGACAUAUUUUGAAGAAGAAAAAAGGCCGUACGGAAAAGAUAAUGCAGCUGUCUUGAUGUGUUGCACUGGACUGGUAGUGUUAUCGACAACUUUUGGACCCCUUUUUGAUUACGAUUUACGCUCCACGUAACACGUGGUUCAACCACGACCAACCGUGGUCUCACGUGAUUCCAUUAUUGCACCCGGCAACUAUAUUAUAAUGUAUUUAUUAUGAUAAACUCUCACUCAUUCAGAGUUAAA